rnacentral:snRNA from 1 species
GUGCUGAUUUUGGCAACACUUAUACUAAAAUUGGAAUGAUACAGAGAUUAGCAUGGCCCUGGGCAAGAAUGACACAUAAAUUCGUCAAGUGUUCUAUAUUUUU